GGAUGGUCAGUUGAGCAUGGUGCUGGCAACACCAAGGUCAUGGGUUCAAUUCCCAUUCAGUCCU
rnacentral:tRNA from 1 species